AACGAACGCUGGCGGCAUGCCUAACACAUGCAAGUCGAACGAGGAUUCCGCUUCGGUGGUUGCCUAGUGGCGCACGGGUGAGUAACGCGUGGGAACCUGCCCUGUGGUACGGAAUAACUCCGGGAAACUGGAGCUAAUACCGUAUGUGUCCUGCGGGACAAAGAUUCAUCGCCGUGGGAUGGGCCCGCGUAGGAUUAGCUUGUUGGUGGGGUAACGGCCUACCAAGGCAACGAUCCUUAGCUGGUCUGAGAGGAUGAUCAGCCACACUGGGACUGAGACACGGCCCAGACUCCUACGGGAGGCAGCAGUGGGGAAUAUUGGACAAUGGGCGCAAGCCUGAUCCAGCAAUGCCGCGUGAGUGAUGAAGGCCUUCGGGUUGUAAAGCUCUUUCGCACGCGACGAUGAUGACGGUAGCGUGAGAAGAAGCCCCGGCUAACUUCGUGCCAGCCGCCGCAGUAACAC
rnacentral:rRNA from 1 species